AAUAGAUACCCGGGUAGUCCACGCCCUAAACGAUGCAUAUUUGGUGUGGGUCAUUCAGUUGAUCCGUGCCGGAGCUAACGCGUUAAAUAUGCCGCCUGGGGAGUACAGUCGCAAGGCUGAAACUCAAAGGAAUUGACGGGGGGCCCGCACAAGCGGUGGAGCAUGCGGAUUAAUUCGAUGCAACGCGAAGAACCUUACCUAGGUUUGACAUAUACGAGAAGCCUCUAGAGAUAGAGGUCUCUUUGGACACUCGUAUACAGGUGGUGCAUGGCUGUCGUCAGCUCGUGUCGUGAGAUGUUGGGUUAAGUCCCGCAACGAGCGCAACCCUCACCGUCUGUUGCCAGCAUUCAGUUGGGCACUCUGACGGAACUGCCCGGGUAACCGGGAGGAAGGUGGGGACGACGUCAAGUCAGCAUGGCCCUUACGCCUGGGGCUUCACACAUGCUACAAUGGCCGGUACAAAGGGCUCCGAUACCGCGAGGUGGAGGCAAUCCCAAAAAGCCGGUCUCAGUUCGGAUCGCAGG
rnacentral:rRNA from 1 species